AAUAAACCUUCAUAGCAACAUGGAAGGUCAGGUUCAAAAAUAGAAUUCCUGAAUUUCUCUGAGUUCCAUGAUGGGACAUGGUAGAAUGAGGGAAAGCAGACCCCUGGCCCACCCCUACUUCUCUUCUCAGCUCACUCAGCUCAGGCUCUGUCCUACACGACGAAGGGGACUUGAGUACAUUUACAUGGACAUGUCCAAGCUCCACACACAAUCCCACUCCCACCUCGCCAUACCCCUCUCUAACAAACAACUACCCCUUGGGCACUUUUCAGGUCCAGGAAUAAGUACUUUAAUGGUGUGGUCUGUAAAGAUGGAUGGACCUGGAGAAAAGGCUGGCCCGGGCCCAGAAAAUAGGCUGUACAAAGUUAAGGACAAAUCCCAGCCCAGGGACCAGCCUCCUCUUCUCCGGCUGCUGACCAAGCAAACCAACUUUCCAUCUUCCCUAUCUUGUCUCAAGAGGAAGUACUUCAAUGGCUUCCUGUUAAUACAGCUGAUGACGGGAGAACCCGGGCUGUGCAGCCUGCAGAGAUCUCCAGGGAGGCAGAUUGCUUAUAGCUGGAGGAAACAAACAGGCAGGGCAGCCUGUGCCCAACUUGUCCAGUGUGACUAUUGCUCAGAGACAGUCACAGAAGAGAGAAUUUUGGAUAUGUGAGGAAUGGCCUUCAAGAUAGACCAAGCAUUCAGAUUGGCUUCCUCUCCUUAGAGUUCCCUCCCUAGCCUACCCUGACCCCAUCCCACUCCACCCCCACCUCACCCCUCAACCACAGUUUCCAACCUGAGCCAUCUCCAGGCUGGCUGACUCCCACCACACCUCCUGCAAGCGGUGAAGGGAGGGCCGAGUCCAAUGCCCAGUCCUUCCUCCAAAGUUUACGAAAAGAGAAC
rnacentral:lncRNA from 1 species